CAGAUUAGAAUAUUAAUUUUUAUGAUAGAAUAAGAAAAAAUUUGAAAAAGGAAAAGACUCUAGAAAACUGAAUAUUGGAACAAAGAAAUUAGGAGUGAAGAAUAAGUGUGAUUGAUUGACUCAAAGGUGUCCUCAAACAAUCUUGGGAAGACCUAAAUAGAGGUCAGUUGUUUUCUGUUAGCAUCCUCAAUAACCAAUGACAUCAAACUCAUAAUUUUUUU